rnacentral:rRNA from 1 species
UGCCUAUAGACUUCUCCCAUUAUAGGUUCAUCCUGCCCAGUGAUAUAUUCAACGGCCGCGGUAUCCUGACCGUGCAAAGGUAGCAUAAUCAUUUGCCCCUUAAUUAGGGGCUAGUAUGAAUGGACAAACGAAAAUUUUUCUGUCUCUAAUUGUACCCAUAAAAUCUAACCUUUAGGUGAAGAGGCCUAAAUUAAUAUAUAAGACAAGAAGACCCUAUCGAGCUUAAUCCAAAACCUAAAAAAAAUCCCAAAGCAACCUUAUGAAAAAGAUUUUGUUGGGGCGACAAAGGAACAAAUACAAAUUCCUUAACAACAAAGAUUACCCAUCUCCCAAACGACCCAUUUAUAUGACCGUAGACAUAAGUUACCGUAGGGAUAACAGUCUAAUUUUCUCUCAGAGCCCAAAUCUACGAGAAAGAUUAGCACCUCGAUGUUGGCUUAGGGACUCUUUUAAUUGCAGCCAUUUAAAAAGAAGGUUUGUUCAACCUUUAAUUC